rnacentral:rRNA from 1 species
AGCGAACGCUGGCGGCAGGCUUAACACAUGCAAGUCGAACGCAUCCUUCGGGGUGAGUGGCUGACGGGUGAGUAACACGUGGGAACGUACCCUUCGAUCUGGGAUAACUUCGGGAAACUGGAGCUAAUACCGGAUACGCCCUUUUGGGGAAAGGUUUACUGUCGAAGGAUCGGCCCGCGUCUGAUUAGCUAGUUGGUGGGGUAACGGCCUACCAAGGCGACGAUCAGUAGCUGGUCUGAGAGGAUGAUCAGCCACACUGGGACUGAGACACGGCCCAGACUCCUACGGGAGGCAGCAGUGGGGAAUAUUGGAAAAUGGGCGCAAGCCUGAUCCAGCCAUGCCGCGUGAGUGAUGAAGGCCUUAGGGUUGUAAAGCUCUUUUGUCCGGGACGAUAAUGACGGUACCGGAAGAAUAAGCCCCGGCUAACUUCGUG